rnacentral:lncRNA from 1 species
AAAUUACGUACGUGGCUUGCAUUAUAUUUCUAUUGGACAGUGCUGAUCUGAAAAGUAUAUGAAGACUUGAGUUGAAGUCUUGUUCAAAUGAAUCUGAGAAGCUAGAAAAAGCUUCGUUUCAGCAUUCUAGUUUGUGUGGAGGACUGCGAUUGGUCACGGAAGUUAUCAGCAUACCAAAAUGUAUUCUACUGGGACAAUUUUCCUGCCAUUCUUCUUAUCUCAUACUCCUGAUCUUCUCCAGUGGGCUGUAAAGCUAUAAAGGCCCU